rnacentral:rRNA from 1 species
UACGUAGGGUGCAAGCGUUAAUCGGAAUUACUGGGCGUAAAGCGUGCGCAGGCGGUGAUGUAAGACAGGUGUGAAAUCCCCGGGCUUAACCUGGGAACUGCAUUUGUGACUGCAUGGCUAGAGUUUGGCAGAGGGGGGUAGAAUUCCACGUGUAGCAGUGAAAUGCGUAGAUAUGUGGAGGAACACCGAUGGCGAAGGCAGCCCCCUGGGUCAAGACUGACGCUCAUGCACGAAAGCUGGGGGAGCGAAACAGG